UACGUAGGGUGCGAGCGUUGUCCGGAAUGAUUGGGCGUAAAGCGUCCGCAGGUGGCUGUGUAAGUCUGCUGUUAAAGAGUCUAGCUCAACUAGAUACAAGCAGUGGAAACUACACGGCUAGAGUACGUUCGGGGCAGAGGGAAUUCCUGGUGUAGCGGUGAAAUGCGUAGAGAUCAGGAAGAACACCGGUGGCGAAGGCGCUCUGCUAGGCCGUAACUGACACUGAGGGACGAAAGCUAGGGGAGCGAAUGGG
rnacentral:rRNA from 1 species